UUGUCCCUGCCGUGUUCGUGACUCGACCAUACAGUCUCUGAACCAAUGCUUAGGCAUAAUAGGUAGCAGUAAUCACCGUAGGCGUGACUGUCCCCAGCGGACGGACCCAAUAUGGUGCGAUAAUGCCGCCGACUUGAACCGUAGGUUCGAGAUGCCGGUCUAGACGGCACAGGCGGGGCAUUU
rnacentral:other from 1 species